UAACAAUGAUCUUAACGGUUCUUCAAAUUUCAGGGUCCUCUCUUUCAGCAGCGCCCAUACCCAUCUCCUGGAGCAGUCUUGCGUAGAAAUGCUGAAGUUGCUUCUCAAAAGAAAAAUCCUAAAUCGCAUCUUACCCCUAUAUCUAAGAGAGGUGAUGGUAAGGAUGGACUGGGUGACGCUGAUUGAAGAUUUUAAGCCUUUGUGUCAUAUUAUUUGCUGGAAGAUUCUCAGAGAGGGAGUUUUUCCAAUUGAAGUUGCUAGACAAGAAAGUCCUAAACAUUAUUACAUACAUUCUAUCGUAGAGACAGGCGUGGAUGAAUUUUCUUCUUGAGAUCUCUGACAUAUGGAUUUAGUAGGUUUUUUAACUGCCGAGAGAGUCAUAAAAAGUGCCAAUAGGCGUGUAGAACAAAAGAAAUUGCAGCUGAAACGCUAGUGUGUAUUCUUUUUAUUUUUUAUUUUUUAUAAGAGACUUCCAAAACUUUAGAAACAGGGAUUAUCUUAGGAGCAUAGACCAGCCAAUGUGUAGAAGCUGUUAGUUGUAACCCUAUAUGUGUUUGGAAUGCGGUUUUUGUUACGAGAGAAUGAGUAGUAGAGAAAGACAUGUCAUGAAAAGGAGCCAACUUGAAGUCUCUACUAAAGUCUGCACACUGCUGCAAUCAGGAAGUUAAACACUUUGAUCCUACCGAAUUUUUUCUUCUUAUCUUAUUCGUGUCACUACAUUCUUCUAAAAAGUGCAGCUUUCAUUUAACAUUUGAUUUAUA